UAUCGGAAGCUAAUCCUGUCUUGUUCAUAAGUACUAGUGCCGCAGGAGUGACUAGGUUGGGUUAAAAAUUACCAUAUCUCCUGCUGCUCAAGUGCUUAUCAAUGGGUCCGGACUCACAUCUAUC
rnacentral:pre_miRNA from 17 species